rnacentral:rRNA from 1 species
UACAGGGGGGGCAAGCGUUGUUCGGAAUUACUGGGCGUAAAGGGCCAGUAGGCGGCCAACUAAGUCCGACGUGAAAUCCCCAGGCUUAACCUGGGAACUGCGUCGGAUACUGGAUGGCUUGAAUUCGGGAGAGGGAUGCAGAAUUCCAGGUGUAGCGGUGAAAUGCGUAGAUAUCUGGAGGAAUACCGGUGGCGAAGGCGGCAUCCUGGACCGAGAUUGACGCUGAACGACGAAAGCUAGGGGAGCAAACGGG